rnacentral:rRNA from 1 species
GGACAGCCUUCUGAAAGGAAGAUUAAUACAAGAUGGCAUCAUGAGUUCACAUGUUCACAUGAUUAAAGGUAUUCCGGUAGACGAUGGGGAUGCGUUCCAUUAGAUAGUAGGCGGGGUAACGGCCCACCUAGUCUUCGAUGGAUAGGGGUUCUGAGAGGAAGGUCCCCCACAUUGGAACUGAGACACGGUCCAAACUCCUACGGGAGGCAGCAGUGAGGAAUAUUGGUCAAUGGGCGCAGGCCUGAACCAGCCAAGUAGCGUGAAGGAUGACUGCCCUAUGGGUUGUAAACUUCUUUUAUAAAGGAAUAAAGUCAGGUAUGUAUACCCGUUUGCAUGUACUUUAUGAAUAAGGAUCGGCUAACUCCGUGCCAGCAGCCGCGGUAAUACGGAGGAUCCGAGCGUUAUCCGGAUUUAUUGGGUUUAAAGGGAGCGUAGACGGAUGUUUAAGUCAGUUGUGAAAGUUUGCGGCUCAACCGUAAAAUUGCAGUUGAUACUGGAUAUCUUGAGUGCAGUUGAGGCAGGCGGAAUUCGUGGUGUAGCGGUGAAAUGCUUAGAUAUCACGAAGAACUCCGAUUGCGAAGGCAGCCUGCUAAGCUGCAACUGACAUUGAGGCUCGAAAGUGUGGGUAUCAAACAGGAUUAGAUACCCUGGUAGUCCACACGGUAAACGAUGAAUACUCGCUGUUUGCGAUAUACGGCAAGCGGCCAAG